UGUGGGAGCGGGCUUGCUCGCGAUUAAGGCGACGCGAUUUUCACAGAGAUCGAGUUGCUGUCAUCGCGAGCAAGCCCGCUCCCACA
rnacentral:misc_RNA from 1 species